rnacentral:rRNA from 1 species
UACAGAGGGGGCAAGCGUUGUUCGGAAUUACUGGGCGUAAAGGGCGCGUAGGCGGCCCGCUAAGUCGAACGUGAAAUCCCCGGGCUCAACCCGGGAACUGCGUCCGAUACUGGUGGGCUUGAAUCCGGGAGAGGGAUGCGGAAUUCCAGGUGUAGCGGUGAAAUGCGUAGAUAUCGGGAGGAACACCUGUGGCGAAAGCGGCGCACUGGACCACAACUGACGCUGAGGCGCGAAAGCUAGGGGAGCAAACAGG